CCUACGGGCGGCAGCAGUGAGGAAUAUUGGUCAAUGGGCGCGAGCCUGAACCAGCCAAGUAGCGUGAAGGAUGACUGCCCUACGGGUUGUAAACUUCUUUUGUAAAGGAAUAAAGUGGGGCACGUGUGCCUUUUUGUAGGUACUUUAUGAAUAAGGAUCGGCUAACUCCGUGCCAGCAGCCGCGGUAAUACGGAGGAUCCGAGCGUUAUCCGGAUUUAUUGGGUUUAAAGGGAGCGUAGAUGGGUUGUUAAGUCAGUCGUGAAAGUUUGCGGGUCAACCGUAAAAUUGCAAUUGAAACUGGCAGCCUUGAGUACAGUUGAGGUAGGCGGAAUUCGUGGUGUAGCGGUGAAAUGCUUAGAUAUCACGAAGAACUCCGAUUGCGAAGGCAGCAUACUAAACUGCCACUGACAUUGAUGCUCGAAAGUGUGGGUAUCAAACAGGAUUAGAUACCCUGGUAGUC
rnacentral:rRNA from 1 species